GCCUGGGUGGCUCAGUGGUUGAGCAUCUGCCUUUGGCUCAGGUCAUGAUCCUGGAGUCUUGGGAUCGAGUCCCACAUCAGGCU
rnacentral:tRNA from 1 species